rnacentral:lncRNA from 1 species
AUGUCACUUCAGACCUUUCGCAUGAUAUCAAGAGUCCUCAGAUUUGACAACAGAGAUACCAGAGCAAGAUCUGACAAGCUUGCCCCCAUCAGGGAUGUAUGGGAGAGAUGGACGCAGCUCCUUCCACUGAUGUUCAACCCAGGGCCAGAGGUGACAGUGGAUGAACUGGUCCUCGAUAUGACUGCUGGACUGCAGGGUCAAAAUAUCACUUGUGACAAAUGUUUUACCAGCUAUGACCUUGGACAAGAACUUCUCAGGAGGAAACUUUCCAUGGUGGGCACAGUGAAGAAAAAUAAACCUGAGCUACCUGCUGCAAUCUUGCAGGUGAAGGACAGGGCUCCACUUUCCUCAAAGUUUGCUUUUACAGACACCACCACUGUUGUCCCAUAUUGUCCAAAAAGAAAACGGAAUGUGAUACUUAUGUUGACUCUUCACAAAGAUGCAGCUGUGUCAUCAGGAAGUGACAAAAAGCCCACAAUCAUCCUCGACUACAACAAAAACAAAGGAGGAGUGGACAACCUGGACAAGCUGACUGCCACCUAUACUUGCCAGCGAAUGACCAGGAGAUGGCCAAUGGUUGUGUUUUACAACAUCCUUGAUGUGUCUGCAUGUAACACAUUUGUGUUGUGGACCCACAUCCACCAAGGGUGGAACUCAACCAAAAAAGCCAAGCGGAGAAUGUUUCUUGAGGAGCUGGGAAAUUCGCUAGUCAAGCCACACAUUGAGCGAAGGGAACCGGUGCCCAGAGAACCAGACGCUGCCGCCUUGGUCAGACCCCUGCAGAGCGCACCUUGCACUCCGUCCACGCCAUCAGCAACACAAAGAGCAUCCGCAACAGCAUCCGCCUCAGCCAGUCCUACCUCAACACCAACCAGAACAGCCACAACCCCACUCAGGCAACCUGAUUCUAAAAGAAAGAGGUGUCAAGUCUGCCCAAGCAGUAAGGACAGAAAGACAAACGUAUUGUGCUUCAAGUGCAGGAAAUAUCUCUGCAAAGAACACACUAAAAGUGUCACUUUUUGCCACACAUGCAUCUAA